ACUCAAAGGAAUUGACGGGGGCCCGCACAAGCGGUGGAGCAUGUGGUUUAAUUCGAUGCAACGCGAAGAACCUUACCUACUCUUGACAUCCAGAGAAUUCGCUAGAGAUAGCUUAGUGCCUUCGGGAACUCUGAGACAGGUGCUGCAUGGCUGUCGUCAGCUCGUGUUGUGAAAUGUUGGGUUAAGUCCCGCAACGAGCGCAACCCUUAUCCUUUGUUGCCAGCRCGUAAUGGYGGGAACUCAAAGGAGACUGCCGGUGAUAAACCGGAGGAAGGUGGGGAUGACGUCAAGUCAUCAUGGCCCUUACGAGUAGGGCUACACACGUGCUACAAUGGCGUAUACAAAGAGAAGCGAACUCGCGAGAGCAAGCGGACCUCAUAAAGUACGUCGUAGUCCGGAUCGGAGUCUGCAACUCGACUCCGUGAAGUCGGAAUCGCUAGUAAUCGUAGAUCAGAAUGCUACGGUGAAUACGUUCCCGGGCCUUGUACACACCGCCCGUCACACCAUGGGAGUGGGUUGCAAAAGAAGUAGGUAGCUUAACCUUCGGGAGGGCGCUUACCACUUUGUGAUUCAUGACUGGGGUGAAGUCGUAACAAGGUAACCGUAGGGGAACCUGCGGCUGGAUCMACCUC
rnacentral:rRNA from 1 species